rnacentral:rRNA from 1 species
CAUUAAAGCCAUACACCCUGAAUGCCCCUGAUCUCAGAAGCUGAGCAGGGUUGGUCAUGGCUAGUGC